rnacentral:tmRNA from 1 species
GGGGGCGCAUGGGUUCGACAGGGGAGGUAUGCUACAGGAUUGCAAGCUGAGGUGCCACUAACCUCAUGAAACCAGUGGCAAAAUAUAACUGGCGAAGAACCAGCUUUAAUUGCUGCCUAGUUAAUUAGGCAACACAUCCAGCCUGGCCUCACCUCAAUGGGUUGGGAUUGGGUGACGUUUAGUUGGGGUGCCAUCAUCCAGACGUCGAUAAGGGUGAUGAAAGAAAUAUCGACUGGCCUGGGUAAACUCGGUCGGCAGAGGUUGGCCGGGCAAGAUAAAAGAGCUGACUAAGCUUGUAGGAUAUUCUGGGUAGCUUCUCUUGGACGGGGAGUUCAACUCGCCCCCGCCUCCACCA